rnacentral:misc_RNA from 1 species
AACGCAAGAUCGUAUUUAUCGAGUCGCAAUUUUCCUUUGGCAUGCCCUUCCCGAUGGCAGGCUACGCAGGAGAAUUCGAAGAUGGGCUGGAUCUCUUUGGCGAAAUCGAUUUUCUUCCGCGCUUUCAAUACGAGUUCAGCAGGCCAAACGGCUCCUUCCUGAAUCCACUUCUUCAGAGUUUCGGUCUGUCCCUGGGUCAACCGAUCCUCUUUUUUUGGGGGCAUGACCUUGUCGUGGUCCGGAGGCAGGAUGGUGGAGGCGAAGAUCGGGCUUUUUUGAAAAUCCCCUGGAACGAGAGCUGUGCCGGUUUCGCCCCCGGUGACCGCACCCGC